rnacentral:rRNA from 1 species
UACGAAGGGUGCAAGCGUUAAUCGGAAUUACUGGGCGGAAAGCGCGCGUAGGUGGUUCAGUAAGUUGGAAGUGAAAUCCCCGGGCUCAACCUGGGAACUGCUUUCAAAACUGCUGAGCUAGAGUACGGUAGAGGGUGGUGGAAUUUCCUGUGUAGCGGUGAAAUGCGUAGAUAUAGGAAGGAACACCAGUGGCGAAGGCGACCACCUGGACUGAUACUGACACUGAGGUGCGAAAGCGUGGGGAGCAAACAGG